rnacentral:rRNA from 1 species
GAUGAACGCUGGCGGCGUGCCUAAUACAUGCAAGUCGAGCGAACAGACGAGGAGCUUGCUCCUCUGACGUUAGCGGCGGACGGGUGAGUAACACGUGGAUAACCUACCUAUAAGACUGGGAUAACUUCGGGAAACCGGAUCUAAUACCGGAUAAUAUAUUGAACCGCAUGGUUCAAUAGUGAAAGCCGGUUUUGCUGUCACUUAUAGAUGGAUCCGCGCCGCAUUAGCUAGUUGGUAAGGUAACGGCUUACCAAGGCAACGAUGCGUAGCCGACCUGCGAGGGUGAUCGGCCACACUGGAACUGAGACACGGUCCAGACUCCUACGGGAGGCAGCAGUAGGGAAUCUUCCGCAAUGGGCGAAAGCCUGACGGAGCAACGCCGCGUGAGUGAUGAAGGUCUUCGGAUCGGAAAACCCUGUUAUUAGGGAAGAACAAAUGUGUAAGUAACUAUGCACGUCUUGACGGUACCUGAUCAGAAAGCCACGGCUAACUACGUG